rnacentral:rRNA from 1 species
GACGAACGCUGGCGGCGUGCUUAACACAUGCAAGUCGAACGGAAAGGCCCUGCUUUUGUGGGGUGCUCGAGUGGCGAACGGGUGAGUAACACGUGAGUAACCUGCCCUUGACUUUGGGAUAACUUCAGGAAACUGGGGCUAAUACCGGAUAGGAGCUCCUGCUGCAUGGUGGGGGUUGGAAAGUUUCGGCGGUUGGGGAUGGACUCGCGGCUUAUCAGCUUGUUGGUGGGGUAGUGGCUUACCAAGGCUUUGACGGGUAGCCGGCCUGAGAGGGUGACCGGCCACAAUGGGACUGAGAUACCGCCCAGACUCCUACGGGGGGCAGGAGUGGGGAAUAUUGCACAAUGGGCGGAAGCCUGAUGCAGCAACGCCGCGUGCGGGAUGACGGCCUUCGGGGUGUAAACCGCUUUCGCCUGGGACGAAGCGUGAGUGACGGUAAUGGGUAAAGAAGCACCGGCUAACUACGUG